rnacentral:rRNA from 1 species
UCGCUCCUACCGAUUUCGAGUGGUCCGGUGAACCUUUUGGACCGCUGGCGCCUUGUGUGCUGUGCGGGAAAUCAAGUAAACCACAUCACUUAGAGGAAGGAG